CUACGUGCUCGGGUGUGGUGAAUAACCAUAGAGUGACGCGUAACGUGAGUCACAGUUGUGCACGAGUGUCUGUGCCGUACGUUAUUUGGCAUUUUCUUCUCAGUUCGAAGCUGCUAUUAAUCAGGAAUACAAACAUGUCUUCGCGCAAAACAGCCGGACGCCGUGCGACAACUAAAAAGCGUGCACAACGCGCAACAUCAAACGUUUUCGCGAUGUUUGAUCAAGCUCAGAUCGCUGAGUUUAAAGAAGCUUUCAACAUGAUCGACCAAAAUCACGACGGUUUCAUUGAUAAGGAAGAUCUUCACGACAUGCUUGCCUCACUGGGUAAAAACCCGACUGACGAAUAUUUGGAGGCAAUGAUGAACGAGGCUCCAGGACCCAUCAAUUUCACGAUGUUUUUAACUUUAUUUGGCGAAAGGCUUCAAGGCACCGAUCCGGAGGAUGUGAUUAAAAACGCCUUCGGCUGCUUCGACGAAGAAAAUACUGGACACAUAAACGAGGAACGUCUGCGCGAAUUACUUACGACAAUGGGAGACAGAUUUACGGAUGACGAUGUGGACGAAAUGUAUCGGGAAGCACCCAUCAAAGGAUCGAUGUUCGACUACAUAGAGUUCACGCGAAUUUUAAAGCACGGUGCUAAAGACAAGGACGAACAAUGAAUUUAUGACCGCCCGUUUCUUCUGUUUGCGUAAUUGAGGCGUGCUACACGCCUCAAUAUGGUUGCAACUGUCCUAAAUGUACAAGCCAACAGAGCCAUGUAGGCAUUCGCAAUAUUUAUUUGAAACUAAAAAAUGUUUACGUACAAACUACGGAUAGAGGAAAGUUUAAUUCACAUUGUAAUUACAAAUUACAAUCGACAAAAAGAAAAAUCUCAAUAUGAUGUAAUAUAUAUAUAUUGUAUAUUAUAUUAACAUAUAGUUGUUAAAGAGUUGGCAUUUAUAUUUUAAUAUAAUAAUGAAUUAUACACCAAAUACAUUCUACUUGAUUGUCACAUCCAGCGUGAAUGAAAAUCAACGUUCGAUAUUUAAGAUAUUGUAACCGUGAUCCACUGCUGUCUGUUGCCACUAGUAAAUGAGAUAGGAAAAAAUAAACAUUGACAAACUA